rnacentral:rRNA from 1 species
GGUGGAUUAGUGGCGAACGGGUGAGUAACACGUGGGCAAUCUGCCCUUCACUCUGGGACAAGCCCUGGAAACGGGGUCUAAUACCGGAUAACACUCUGUCCCGCAUGGGACGGGGUUAAAAGCUCCGGCGGUGAAGGAUGAGCCCGCGGCCUAUCAGCUUGUUGGUGGGGUAAUGGCCUACCAAGGCGACGACGGGUAGCCGGCCUGAGAGGGCGACCGGCCACACUGGGACUGAGACACGGCCCAGACUCCUACGGGAGGCAGCAGUGGGGAAUAUUGCACAAUGGGCGAAAGCCUGAUGCAGCGACGCCGCGUGAGGGAUGACGGCCUUCGGGUUGUAAACCUCUUUCAGCAGGGAAGAAGCGAAAGUGACGGUACCUGCAGAAGAAGCGCCGGCUAACUACGUGCCAGCAGCCGCGGUAAUACGUAGGGCGCAAGCGUUGUCCGGAAUUAUUGGGCGUAAAGAGCUCGUAGGCGGCUU